UCACAUGCAAGUCGAACGGCAGCACAGGAGAGCUUGCUCUCUGGGUGGCGAGUGGCGGACGGGUGAGGAAUACAUCGGAAUCUACUUUUUCGUGGGGGAUAACGUAGGGAAACUUACGCUAAUACCGCAUACGACCUACGGGUGAAAGCAGGGGAUCUUCGGACCUUGCGCGAUUGAAUGAGCCGAUGUCGGAUUAGCUAGUUGGCGGGGUAAAGGCCCACCAAGGCGACGAUCCGUAGCUGGUCUGAGAGGAUGAUCAGCCACACUGGAACUGAGACACGGUCCAGACUCCUACGGGAGGCAGCAGUGGGGAAUAUUGGACAAUGGGCGCAAGCCUGAUCCAGCCGUACCGCGUGGGUGAAGAAGGCCUUCGGGUUGUAAAGCCCUUUUGUUGGGAAAGAAAUCCAGCUGGUUAAUACCCGGUUGGGAUGACGGUACCCAAAGAAUAAGCACCGGCUAACUUCGUGCCAGCAGCCGCGGUAAUACGAAGGGUACAAGCG
rnacentral:rRNA from 1 species